CCUACGGGAGGCAGCAGUGGGGAAUAUUGCACAAUGGGGGGAACCCUGAUGCAGCGACGCCGCGUGAGUGAAGAAGUACUUCGUUAUGUAAAGCCCUAUCAGCAGGGAAGAAAAUGACGGUACCUGACUAAGAAGCCCCGGCUAACUACGUGCCAGCAGCCGCGGUAAUACGUAGGGGGCAAGCGUUAUCCGGAUUUACUGGGUGUAAAGGGAGCGUAGACGGCGGGGCAAGUCUGGUGUGAAAGGCCGGGGCUCAACCCCGGGACUGCAUUGGAAACUGGCAGGCUGGAGUGCAGGAGGGGCAAGUGGAAUUCCUAGUGUAGCGGUGAAAUGCGUAGAUAUUAGGAGGAACACCGGUGGCGAAGGCGGCUUGCUGGACGGUAACUGACGUUGAGGCUCGAAAGCGUGGGGAGCAAACAGGAUUAGAUACCCGUGUAGUC
rnacentral:rRNA from 1 species